CGAGGACGAACGCUGGCGGCGUGCCUAACACAUGCAAGUCGAACGGAGAUACGAUUUCGGUUGUAUCUUAGUGGCGAACGGGUGAGUAACGCGUGAGCAACCUGACCUUUAGAGGGGGAUAACACUUGGAAACAGGUGCUAAUACCGCAUAAGACCACGACCCGACAUCGGGAUGAGGUCAAAGGAGUAAUCCGCUAGAGGAGGGGCUCGCGUCCCAUUAGAUAGAUGGCGGGGUAACGGCCCACCAUGUCGACGAUGGGUAGCCGAGCUGAGAGGCUGAUCGGCCACACUGGAACUGAGACACGGUCCAGACUCCUACGGGAGGCAGCAGGUGGGGAAUAUUGGGCAAUGGGCCGCAAGCCUGACCCAGCAACGCCGCGUGAGGGAAGAAGGCCUUCGGGUUGUAAACCUCUGUCCUUGGUGACGAAAAAAUGACGGUAGCCAAGGAGGAAGCCCCGGCUAACUACGUG
rnacentral:rRNA from 1 species